CCAACGCCAAAAUUCUUCCCACUCUCUAGUUUUCAAGGUUCUACGUUCUCAAGCAAAGAGAGGAAGAAGAAGAAGCCAUGAAACCUUCCUAGCCACCAUAUCUCCACCUUGUGCCGUGAUAGUGAAGCCUUGCUUUCAAGAUUCAAGAUCAACGUCUCAAACUCUUCAUCAUUCAUUCCAUUCACAGUGUGUACCCUCAAUCCCCCAGCUUGAACGAUCUCUAUUUACCAUAGACUAACGAUGACAUUUUUCAGGGUUAAAUUGCGCGCUUAUUUUUAGCGUAUCAGUUAAACUCUAUCAAUAUUUUGGAUUGUUUUCUGAAUGUGUGUUUGUGUACUGGAAUGAUUGAAAUUUAUGUAUGGGUGUUUGAUCAUGACCUGUGAAUUUUAUUGUAGGAGCAACAAAACCAUUUUGGUAUAUAUUCACUAUAUAUUAAUUCUCUAGCCAACAAGAGAUGGGGUGUUGGCAAUGUGUACAUUACUUAUGACGUGACCAUGAUUAUGGCAUGAUCAUUGAGUUUAGGUAGCUCGGGCUGAGACAGCCAAGACAUAGCUAACGGGCAAGUUGACUAGCCCAAUAUUAUAAUUGAGUAUGCGAUAGCAACUCAGACAUAGCUAAUGGGCGUGCUUUGCAGCCCAAUAUUAUUACUUGGAAAUGGAGUGCAGCUCUUUGUUUUGCAUUAGAGAAUGGGGAUUGAACGAACUGCUUCUCAUUACCAAAUGUAGUUCAUAAGUCUGCAGUGGUGAUUUGAUGUUCCUUUUAUAUGAUUGUUCUGGAGAUUAAAUGUUCUAGUUAGUUAGUUAGUUACAAUUUGUGUAAUUGUGUUCUGGUGAGGAACCAAUUUGUUAGAUUUUGCUUAUGGUUUGAUACUUUGAUUUCGUACUUGUUUAAUCUUUCUGUUUGUAAGUUUGAGUAUUUUUUUUCACUGAGCUUUAGUUGCUCAUGUCUCCUUCGCGGUUCUUGUUUUGCAGAUUCACAGGUGGGAGGGUCAAGAAUUGAGUGCUGAGUGUUAGAACUUGUGUUUUGUUUCCAAUUUUGGUGAACCUGUCUUGUAAUUAUCUUCUAUGCUUCUGGACAUGAUUCCUUGGUGUAAGGGUUUUUGCAAUUGUAUUAUAGGCAAGUUUAAAUAUUAUACAUACGCAACAGAUCAUGCUAAAAUGUUUAUAAAGACAUCUUUCAGUC